UGGGGAAUCUUGCACAAUGGGGGCAACCCUGAUGCAGCGACGCCGCGUGAGCGAUGAAGCCCUUCGGGGCGUAAAGCUCUUUCGACCGGAACGAUAAUGACGGUACCGGGAGAAGAAGCUGCGGCUAACUACGUGCCAGCAGCCGCGGUAAUACGUAGGCAGCAAGCGUUGUUCGGAGUUACUGGGCGUAAAGAGUGCGUAGGCGGUUUUCUAAGUUCGGUGUGAAAUCUCCCGGCUUAACUGGGAGGGUGCGCCGAAGACUGGGAAGCUGGAAUGUGGGAAAGGCAGGCGGAAUUCCUGGUGUAGCGGUGAAAUGCGUAGAUAUCAGGAGGAACACCGGCGGUGUAGACGGCUUGCUAAACCAUAACUGACGCUGAGGCACGAAAGCGUGGGUAGCAAACA
rnacentral:rRNA from 1 species